CAAAUAUGCUCAAAAUUGUUGUCGAUCAUAAUAUCAAGAUGUGUCGGUGCAGAUUAGGUAUGCGUGGUCUAAUGAUUUUAAUAAAUUCAGUAGCUGCAAUUUAUCCGAUUAUUUUUGCGUUAAGGAUAACAGCGAUUCUAUAAGUUUAUAAUGCCGAUUGCUUAUACUUGGAUUACAAUAAGCACUCUUAUCAGCGUUUACUUAUUAUUAAACUCGAGACGAUUUGGCGUUUUGAACUGGGUCGACUUUCCUCUAAGCCGAUCCGAUGACCCGAUGAUGGCGGCGAGUGGGUGGGUUUUGGCCUUCCUUGCCUUCAUGGGUCAAUAUUGGUAUGCUCAAUAUUUGAAAGCAAAAAUUAGACGACGUGGACCUGAAUAAAUUAAUACAAAUGUGUAAAAGUAUUUUAAAAUUGUAAUUGUACAAUAAGUAAAGUUUAUGCAGUAUUAAAAAAA